rnacentral:rRNA from 1 species
UAAUCUGCGAAAGCGGGAACCAGCAACGCCGCGUGCGCGAAGAAGGCCUUCGGGUUGUAAAGCGCUUUUCGGGAGGAAGAGGAAGGGCUGUACUCCCGGAAUAAGUCUCGGCUAACUACGUGCCAGCAGCCGCGGUAAUACGUAGGAGGCUAACGUUAUCCGGAUUUACUGGGCGUAAAGCGCGUGCAGGCGGUUCGUUAAGUUGGACGUGAAAGCUCCCGGCUCAACUGGGAGAGGACGUUCAAUACUGGCGGACUUGAGGAUGGUAGAGGGAGGUGGAAUUCCGGGUGUAGUGGUGAAAUGUGCAGAUAUCCGGAGGAACACCAGUGGCGAAAGCGGCCUCCUGGACCAUUCCUGACGCUCAGACGCGAAAGCUAGGGUAGCAAACGGGAUUAGAGACCCCGGUAGUCCUAGCUGUAAACGAUGUGAACUUGGCGUCGGUGGGAUUAAAUCCAUCGGUGUCGAAGCUAACGCGAUAAGUUCACCGCCUGAGGACUACAGCCGCAAGGUUAAAACUCAAAGGAAUUGACGGGGACCCGCACAAGCAGCGGAGCGUGUGGUUUAAUUCGUUGCUACACGAAGAACCUUACCUGGGUUUGACAUAUAGGUUGUAGGGAACUGAAAAGGGACCGACCCUUCGGGGAGCCUAUACAGGUGUUGCAUGGCUGUCGUCAGCUCGUGUCGUGAGAUGUUCGGUUAAGUCCGCUAACGAGCGCAACCCUCGCCGUAUGUUAUAUGUGUCAUACGGGACUGCCGGUAAAAAGCCGGAGGAAGGUGGGGAUGAUGUCAAGUCGGCAUGACCUUUAUAUCCAGGGCUACACACACGCUACAAUGGUCUGCACAAUUGGUUGCCAAGCCGCGAGGCGGAGCCAAUCCUUAAAGCAGGCCUCAGUUCAGAUUGCAGUCUGCAACCCGACUGCAUGAAGCCGGAGUUGCUAGUAACCGCAGAUCAGCAAUACUGCGGUGAAUACGUUCCCGGGUCUUGUACACACCGCCCGUCACGUCAUGGAAGCUGGCAACGCCUGAAGCCGGUAUCCUAACCCUCACGGGAAGGAGCUGUCUAAGGCGGGGUCGGUGACUGGGACGAAGUCGUAACAAGGUAGCC